CAGGCCUAACACAUGCAAGUCGAGCGCUUGGGGUGUUCCCUUACGGGAAACCCCCUGGAGCGGCGGACGGGUGAGUAACACGUAGGCAACCUGCCUGUAAGACCGGGAUAACUACCGGAAACGGUAGCUAAGACCGGAUAGCUGGUUUCUCCGCAUGGGGGAAUCAUGAAACACGGGGCAACCUGUGGCUUACGGAUGGGCCUGCGGCGCAUUAGCUAGUUGGUGGGGUAAUGGCCCACCAAGGCGACGAUGCGUAGCCGACCUGAGAGGGUGAUCGGCCACACUGGGACUGAGACACGGCCCAGACUCCUACGGGAGGCAGCAGUAGGGAAUCUUCCGCAAUGGGCGCAAGCCUGACGGAGCAACGCCGCGUGAGUGAUGAAGGUUUUCGGAUCGUAAAGCUCUGUUGCCAAGGAAGAACGCCUCGGAGAGUAACUGCUCUGAGGGUGACGGUACUUGAGAAGAAAGCCCCGGCUAACUACGUGCCAGCAGCCGCGGUAAUACGUAGGGGGCAAGCGUUGUCCGGAAUUAUUGGGCGUAAAGCGCGCGCAGGCGGUCUUUUAAGUUUGGUGUUUAAGCCCGGGGCUCAACCCCGGUUCGCACUGAAAACUGGGAGACUUGAGUGCAGGGGAGGAAAGCGGAAUUCCACGUGUAGCGGUGAAAUGCGUAGAGAUGUGGAGGAACACCAGUGGCGAAGGCGGCUUUCUGGACUGUAACUGACGCUGAGGCGCGAAAGCGUGGGGAGCAAAC
rnacentral:rRNA from 1 species